AUGAUUACGCUGCGAAUAACAAGUUUAUUGAGAGUUUAAGUACUAUGAUUUACAUAACAUAACAUUCAAACACACUGGCAGAACCUUUCCAAAGUGUCUUAAUAAUAUUUUACAAUGUUCUUAAAUUAAGAUCCUCAGAAGAAUUCAAUUUCAUAGAAAUUAGUGAGUAGGAAGUUUCAUGAAGUGCAAACAUUUAAUAUGUAAUAAAGCAUUUGCAUAUUUCGGCCACUACUCGCCAUCAUCAGAAGGCAAUAUAUGAUGAGCAUAUGUCAUAAAGGGAUUUCUACCAUCCUAAAUCAAGUCAAACAUAAUAAUGUAAUUAAAGUAAGUUACCUUAAAAUGAUACACAAUAUCAGUACAAUUAAUUCUUACUGUAUGUAUGUGUGAGUGAAUCAAGUGACUGCCUAUGUUCUUCUGUUGAUAUUCUUGUAUGAAAUAUCUUGCGUAAUUGGCAUUAUGUUCGUGCCCAAACAUAAUAUAGGGACUUCUGGAUUCUGUAUCUUUAUUACUUACAACGAGUUAAUGAAGAAACAUUACUGAUUGCCAUAUCUGUAAUGUUGUGUGUUCUGAACGACUGUGGUAGUCGGUGGGAUAUGUAGUAGCAAAACCAUGUGGACUUGUGAGUACCCUGAAUGCGCAUGCGUGAUUCCAUAACGGUGGGUCUAUGUGUUCUAUAGUUGUAUCGAAUAAGAGAUUUCUGUGAUUAUUUUCCUCGAUCUUUUGCUUGUCUGUUGUUACGUUUAUACAAAUAAAUACAUAAAUUUUCCCUUUAUGCUCAUUAACCGGCCCCUUCUUACACGAUCGAUUUACCGAUAAUAUCCUGUGUAUGUUUCUCGCUGUACGGGUAGCAAGUCCUCAAUCAUUCCUAUGUGUUCUUAUGUUUUGUAUGUGUUCUUUGAUUGCGACUAUUGGGGACUAUCCUGUCUGACCAAUGUAUGAUUGUUGGCAGUCUAAGCAUGCUACUUUGUAUAUGCUAGUGUGAUCAUGUUUAUUGGUGCUAAUGUCUUUCAGGUUAUGUUCCCGAUUCUGUUUGUUAUUUUUAAGGCUAUUUUACAUUCGUGUUUUUAAUGGAUUUGUGAUUGCGCAGAUGUACUUCCCCUAGCAUGUAAAUGUUACCCAUUUUUGUUUUUCUUUUACCUUAUUGUAUAAGUUUGUUAUUUGUUCCUUUAUAUAACCGUUGUUUUCGGUGGUGUUUAUAAUGGUAUUUAAUUCCUUAUUUUAAUUGUAUUAUUUAUUGGUAAUUUAUGUAACCUAUGGAACCGGUUUUUGAACGUGGCCAUUUUAUGUUCUCCAGGAUGGCCAUUAUUCGUAUAAAGGUUACAGUAAGCUAACAGACGAACAAGAAGCGGAAGAAAAUCAUAAAAGAGUCUUAUUCGAUGUAGUUGUAGACUACAUAGACACACCCUUAUAUGAACCACGCACGCGCAUUCAAGAGCGUUCAAGGUACUCACAAACCCACACCUAUCACAGUACACCGGUUCGUUGCAACACACGCACCGACUAACACGACCCUACGGAACACACAACAUUACAGUGUUCUGUUUAUUUAAAAAAUCGCGAUUUUCUAUCUUCCGUCUACUCUAGUUUCAAGAUGGCACUUCGUUGUUGAGGAAAGUUUGUUAGACGAUGAAAUUGUGCAAGAAUUAAAUGCAGACCGGUUAUCAGAUGCUUCAAGUGAUUGUGAAAGUGAUAAAAGUAGUGAAGAUCAUAACUAGGAGGAGGAGGACUAUGAUUUGGGACCCUCAGCGUCACAGAAGGCGGAAAAAGAGCGAGGUUAAAGCUUCGCCGGAAAUGAAGCGACCGGAAGUGACAGCCUCGCAACUGAACUGUAAUACCGCAAGAAAAAAGCAGAUAAUUGGUUGCCACGUCUAGCAGUACGCGUGGACAGCAAUGUCGGAUUCGACAGGAAGACGUCGUUCAAAGCAGCUGAGCAGUGGAGAGACUUGUGACUUCUACACGGCUCAAGAGAAGACUGUAAGAGUAGCGAAGAUAACGGACUGACAGAAUCCAACAGCAGAGUCCCAGAGGCUACAAACGAAGAGUAGAAUUGAAAUGGGAAUUCUUUGCUUUAUGUGUUAUUGUUUUAGUAAUAAUUUGUUGAGUUAUAAUUCUUUGUGGUUACAGCUUAUUCAA